GGCCGCUGAGGGUGAGGGCUGGGAGGGGGCGCUUAGCACGGCAGGGGAUGGAUGCGGGGCCCAUAGGGUCGCAUAGAACGGUAGGGAAGCAACGCAGGGCAGAGGCAGCCUGGGUUUGCUGGGAGGUGGCGUGCUGUGAGGGGACACCGAAAGGGUAUCUCCUGUUCCUUCUCGUAUAUCGCUGGCUCCCUCAAAGCCCUCAUUUGGCAGUGGGUAGCUGAAAGCUGUUACAAACGCUCUGAAUUUAUCAAAAAUCAGAAAAGAUAAUGUCUUGAAAGUGACUCUCCCGGCUGAGAGAGAGUCAUGGUGCUUAAUUUUUUUCUUAUUUUGAUUUUCUUAUUUUGCCCACCUUCUACUGGUGGGCAGUAUUGAGGCACAAGGUGGGCGCCAAGCUCGGGCUGCGGCAAUCGGUGACAGCUCCUCGCUGCUCCUCGCGCCACAAGGGUGUGGUAUAGCUCCCAUCUCCUCCUAGUCCGAGUAAUAAACCCCUUCUCUUCUUAAUCCUUCAUUUAAGUGACCGUAAGCAGUUCUUGUACAAUGACAUUCCCGCUUGUUUAGCAUCUAGGACUUUAAAGAAAGGUGUAACCAGGGUUGUAAAAAAGUUUGUUAAUUUAAUGAAUGAUUAAGGUUAAAACAAACAAACAAAAAUCUAUACUUAAAAUAAUUGUGGAAAAAUAAUGGUUUAGCCUUUUUGCUUCCAGAAAGAUGAGAGGCUUUUUUGAUUGCUUUAAUAACUUAAAUAAGGAAUGCCAGUACUGGGAAAAUAGGCAAUUGGUUUUUGCUACUUUUGAUGUUUAGACUUUGCACAAGUUUGCUGUCUUAAUUGGCCAGAGAGUAAUUUUUGGGAGAUAGUAUUUUUUGUUUCUCAUUGCAUGAUCUGUGUUUUAAAUUCAAAAUGCAUAGAGUUGAAAUAGUCUUGGAAAGUAUUCACUUAAGGAUACAAACAGCUGAAGAAGUCACCUGUGGCUUGCAACAUACAGUUUGUGAGCUCUGUCUUUAUAAGGUAGCGGUUUCAUGAUAGUGAUCUUUAGUUUUCACAAGAUAAUUUUGAAUUUUAAUACAGUAAUAGGAGAAAAGUACAUACUAAAGGUGAACUGUUUCUAAAACUGUCACUGGUGUUGACUGUAUACAAAGUUGGUUUAUAUGGUGUUUGUACUUGAUGUAAAUUUGAUGCUGGUACACCUAUGCACGGGGUUCUAGGGAGUGGUUUUUUCCUGGUAUUUCCUGGCUUGUGGGUAAUAGUCCAUUAGUUCAUUAGUUUUGUUUCGUCUCUUUAAUUUCUGGUGCCCAGUGAGCAAUAUUCAAGGUUCUGUGACCAAUAUAUGCUGCUUAUAAGCUGAGGGAUUCCUGUGACUGAAAUAGUUACCAUUGAGGAAGUGUAUUAAAUGAUUUGUUUUCUCAUUUGUAUUGCAGGUACUUACUAUGAAAGCUAAUAAAGAAUAGACUGGAAGAUAUUUCACUGGUUUUCCAUGUAUGCACGGAAAUAAAAUAUACAAAUAUGUAAAUAUAUAAACAAAAUGCACACAUUCACCCGUACAUUGUUCCUUAGCAAUAGUUUGUCUAACCUCUUCCUAAAGCCUUUUAUUUUGGUUUAUACUGACUAUUUUAUUUUAGUAUUUAUUAUUACAUCUCACUGAAAGGUUUCCUGAUGUAUUAUUGCUGCAGUUUAAAAACAUUCUUCCUUCUGUAGAUAUAGAAAACAAUUUGUUAUCUUGUUCUCUGCAGCUAUAUUCCAUAUUUGAAAUGUGAAAAAGAUGUCCCUUUUGAAUAAUUGUCUGUAGAUUGAAGACUGCCUCAGGAAUACCAUUCUACUAGGAUAUUACAGAUGACAACUUUUACCUUUGAUGCUACUUGCUUCCUCUUUUGGACCCCUUUCAUGGAGAACAGAUCUUUCCUUGAAGUGUGUUCCUAAAAACUGGAUAUACCACUACUCAGCUGAGGCCUUCCUAGUGCAGAGUUUGUUUUGCAGGCUAUACUCAGGUUGGAGUUGUAGGUUUACCUACAACUGUGCAGCAAUGCCAACUUCCAUGGAGCUUAUGGCCAGAAGUGUGAGCAGUUUGAGAGCUGCUUUGUGACCAUUCUGUUUCCAGUUUCCAUUCUGGGUUUGUGGAAUUGCUGUGCUUGUGCUGGUAAAGAUUUCAUGAGCUCAUCUCAGGCUGGUUCAUGAGCUGGCGCAGACCAUCCUGCCCUGAGGAAUGCACUCUACCGCUGUGUCCACCUUGGCUGUUUUUCUAAUUCCUUGACCUGAGGGACUGGGUUUACACCACUGUAGUUGAUUAAAUAGAUAUGUUCGGAUUAUGCUUAUUUAGUUGAUUGAAAUGUAUUUGUAAAUUAUGUUCAAACAUUCAGUAAAGACCAAGUUUUAUCAAUAACAUUAGACUUUAAGAUUUGAAUGUAGGUUUUGUAUCACUACAGUUUAAUGAGUUGCCUUUCAGAUGAACUGCAGAGUCUGAGUCUGUGUUCAUUCUUACUAGUUGCAUCUCAAAAUUAAAAUUAGUUUGUCUAAGCUCUUCUUUUGCUGAGGCUUAAGCUGUAUUUUUUCUCAUGCUUUCUGGAGGCUAAACCUGUGUUCUGCCUGUUAAAGCUCAGCUUAUGUAAGAUAACUCAUUAAGCUUUGAUAAGUGGGAAGGGUACCUGGGCCCAUGGAUUACCCAGGGUUUAUGCAGGGUAAUCAAAAGUAGGAUUUUGUCUAAUAGUAAAACUUGUGUUUUUUCUAAUACUGCUGAAACCAAAGCACUUUAAGAGUCUUUGUGCUUACUCUGCAUUAUGAGCUGCAGCAGUUCUGCAAUAAUAGUGUCAAAGGCUCUGUGAACGUUGCUAUUUGCCAUUUUAUCAUAGUUUUCAAAAUGCCGUGCUGUCCCACAGGCUCUGCUGUAAUUAUGCUGGUCCAUGCAAUAUGAAGCUGGUCCAUGCAAUAUGAAGGUGGGCCAUGCUAUAUGAAGGUGGGCCAUGCAAUAUUAUGCUGGGCCAUGGUAAAUUAAUGCAGUAAAUAACUUUUGGAUUCUCUGGCAUUAGGUCAUAAAAUCAAUUAGAUUGGAAAAGACCUUUAAGAUGGUCGAGUCCAACCACUAACUGAACACUGCCACGUCUGCCACUACACUACAUCCCCAAGUGCCAUAUCUACACAUAUUUUAAAUAUCUCCAGGAAUGAUGACUCCACUGCUUUUACAGCUUGUCCCAAUGCUUGACAACCAUUUUGGUGGCUAUUAGGAAAAAUGUCUUCCAUCUAAACAAAGAAAGACACUGCUGUAGGAUUUAAGGAAUUAAGGUGAUGAAUUGUUGCAAUUCGGUUUCUAUAAAGAUCAAUAACUUCCUGCGUUUAUUCUGUAUAUGUGUAUGUUUCACUUUUUUGCUCUGUCUAGUUUAAAUCUCGAGCUCCCAAAGUGGUCCUGAUGGUCUUGGAGGUGCAACUCCCCUUGAUAGUCUGCUGGGUGUUUUAAGGACGGGAGCGAAUCGGAGCUGACCCAGAAGAGGGCAGCAGUGCAUUUGCACAAAACCACUACGUCUUGGCUCUGUAGGGUCUUCUGUACCAAGUAUUGAAUCCCUAUAAAAAUCGAUUUUUGAAGCAGAAAUGCACCAAUGUAUCUCUUUGUAAAAGUGUAUUUAUUUGUAUUUAUAGCCCUAAAUUCCAGGGGCACUGGGGUUGCAUAUUUUAGCCAGACUUUCCCUCCAAGUGAGAAGGUGAAGCUCCUUUCUUUGUCUACCCAGCAGGUCGGAGGUCAUUAAAAAAAUGCCCAUGAGGUAUGUACCAGCUCUUAGUAUUUAUAUAUAUGUAUGUCUUUUAGUUAUAAAAUAUAUAUUAUUUUUAUAAUAUAUAAAAUAUAUAAGUGAUACACAUUCAAAUUUUGCUCUGACACUACACCUGAAGUUUCUUCCAGUCAAGUAUCUUUGGGAGUAAGGCAUAUGCUGGUCAAACCUUGCCUUCUUUUAAAUGCUUUUCUUAAUAGAAAUGCUUAGACAUAAUUUACUGGAUAGUCUGAUCAGUAAUGAAUUUAUCUUUUUCCUGUGGAUCCAAAAUAAUAAUUUGUAUGUAGAAUUUGCCAGAAGUAAGUCGCAUUUAAAAAUUAUUUAUGCCACCUGUGGACGGACUUUAUGAUUUCGGAUUAUAGUCAGAAGAUGGACUGCAGAACAUGCAGGCAUGAGUGGGUGCCAAAAAUGUACAUGGUUCUGUGUAUUGGUAGAAAUGGAGCUAUGGUGUUAUGGGUCUCUUCAGAUGGGCUGGCACAUUCCAAGAGAUGGUCUUUGGUAAAACCCCUCUGAGACCUUCUGUUUGCCAUGGUCUGCUCUCUUUUCUUUCAAAAUAGCAUGUUGUUUUUUGAAUGGCAGUGCUGGAUACAUGGGUAAUUCUUUUGAAAAUUUUUGAUGUUUCAGCUAAAUACCUUAAAUAUUAUUUAAUGUGUAACAUGAGUUAUUACUUAACACUCUGAAAUAUCUUUUGUGGGUUUUUGACUUCUGUCAUUAUUACUUGUGGCCCCAGUUUAAGGACUAUUAAAUAUGUAAGGAUGUUCGCCUGUCCUGAUGGUGGUGUGAGCUUGUGAACAUUGUGUGCGUAUACACAUAGAUAACAUAUCUCUGUCUACAAAACCAGAACUUCAUUACCACUUAUUUCAGUCUAUGGAUGGGGAGAAUGCUAAUUUGAAGGCAUGAGAUUUGAAAGUGAUGUUGAUCACAAAGAUGUCUGUGCUCUCCCAUGUUUCCUAUCAUGCUAUAGCUCUGACAUGUCAGUUCAAAACAAAAAUUGGCUUCUUUGUUAAUUUUUUUUUUUUUUUGGUAAAAAAUCAUGUCUGCAGAUGGUAAAGAAAUUAGUCAAGCAGGUAGGAAUGCUAACAAAGCUUACACUGCCAGAAUGCUGAAUUGGAACUUACAUUCCUUGCAGAGCCAUAGUAGAGUAGAAGAUCCUGAUGGUGAGGAAACCUGUGUUGAAUAAUGCUAUCCUGCCCCUUUUUAGGGGGAAAACUCAAAAUUUCCAUUGGAAGGUCAAGUUCCUGGUGUAAAUAGUGCUGUCAUUAGAGUAGUGGCAGCUGGCAGCUUUUUUUCCUCCAAACUCAUUUGUUCGGCUUAUGAGCUUCUAAUACACAAAGAGCUUGCAGUUACAAGAUUGAUUUCUAGUCUUGUAUUUAAAACUUGCCAGGAAAAGAACUAGUCAGCAUCUCCAAGGAAGUAUUCUCUUUUGGGGUCAAAAUCUUGUGUGCUGCUUCAUAGUCUCCCUUGCCUGCUUUGGGUAUUAAGGUUGUACUUUUAUACAGAAGAGGUGAACUGUUUUGCUUUUACACAUCAAUAGCAGAUGUCAGGGCUCUGACAGCUGAUUUCUGUCUGGAAGAAAAAUUUGUGACACAGACCAUAGGAAUUAUCUUUCUUAGCAGACUUCUAUAUUAAAUACAUGAGGCUUUGAACACAUGUACAGACCGAUUAUAUUGCAGGAAAUAACCCUUCUCUAGAAAUUUCGAUCUGGAAGUCAGUGUUUUGCUUUCAGAAAACAACUUUAUCUUUGAAGUUCCUACCAACUAAAGAUAUAGUGUUACAGGGCUACUAAUACCUCAUUUCUCAAAGUCUAUGUUCCGUGCAUGUGCAGAGGAAAGCAAGUUAUUGGAGAGACUUGUGUGCAAGGAGGCAUUAUAAUCAUAUGAGGGUGGUUCUCGGAAAUGGACAGUAAUGAACACUGUUUUGGAGUGUGGGCUUCCUGAGCUGUCUUGAGUGCAUUGUGCUGUAGAUAUUCCCUUUGUAAAGGUACUGUUUGAAUGAUGCAGGAUUGACUUGCUUAGUCUCCUUCCCUCCCACCUCAUCUUUGAAGAUGUGUGUUGGAAUUUCUUGUUUCAAGUAUUUUUUUGGGGGUGGGUUUUGUUUGUUUGUUUUUAUUUUAAGGAAAGGGAAUGAAAGUUUUAUGAGGUAAAGAAGUCAUCUCUCAUUCUCUUCUGAAUCCUCUCUCAGGGAGAGCAUGGCAGCAGGAGGAAGAAGCUCAGCUCAGUGGAUGCAGAUUGGUGUGGGAGGCUUCCUAUUACUGGCGUGUAAAGUGGGGGCUGUCCUUCAACCUUCCCUCUUCAGCUGAAGCUGGGCUAAGUGAGAGGCAGCUGAAGUUUUUUUCCCCUGCAGACAAUUGCUCGAGGUAAAUGUUUAUUUUUGUUUAUCUUUAUUCUUGGAGAAAGUUUGGGUGGGUUUUUUAUAGUCUGGAGGAAAAAAGAAAAACAUAAAGUGUUGGUGUGUUACUUUUUCUGGUUUAAGGAAAUAAUCUUUCCAUAAUAAGCUUGAAACUACUUUGAUGACUGAAAACAGUGGUAUAAUAUAUGAAGUUAAAAUUUCUUAAAAUAAGAAAUAUCUGAUCUUGAAAUCAUAAGUUUGAUUUUGUAAAGGGUUUCCACUGGAUGAUAUUAUUGGUUUUGGCUUUUUUAGGGUAUUAGAAACUGAAUGACACACUUAUAUCUGUGAAAAGUCAGUUUAAAUACUGUAACUGACUUCCUUGUGAUUUAAGACUUAAAUACAUGUCUUGUAGGCUUCUUUGGCUCUACAGGCUCUAGCUAAAGUGACAUGUUAUUUGGGACAUCUACUAUAAAUUCUAGGUGACCCCAAAUACAUGAUGAUCUUUAGUCUUUAAAGAUCAUUGUAUGGUGAAAAAUACUAAACUUUAUUUAUGUCUUCUAUAUUUUUCAUCCUUCUCUUACCUGAUUGUUCCUGACUAAAAGUUUUGGCAUGAGAACACUACUUUAUGUGUAGGUGUUCCUCUGAUCCUUUUAUUUUUCACCUGAAGCAUCAUCAUCAUCCCUGUAAAAUCAGGCUUGGCUGCUGUAUGAAUAAUAGAAGUGUUACAAACAAAACUAUGAUUUCAAGUGAACAGAGAAAAAGCAGAUAAAACACUUCAAAAAAUGGCUUUCAAGGAGCAUCUCUGUACCAGUAAAGCAAAGUGAAGUAAAUAAUAAUGUUGUGUAUAUGCCACUGAUUUUUUUUUUUGUUGUUCUCAGAUGUAAUUUUGAGAUUGUCCCAAGGCUUUCAGCAUGAUUUCAAAGGUUAAUUGAUAGUCUGUGCUUGUAUGUGCAUGCCCAAAUGCUGGAGAGAGAUUGUGUGUAUGUGUGUGUGUGUAUGUAAAAAGAACAGUCCAAAUAUAAGUCUUGAGGUGUAACCUCUUUGUACUAGUGCUAGGACAUGUAUUUAGGGUUCUGCAGAAAAGCAGAAUGGUACACAAUACUCCAUCACAACUAUAUAUAGCUAUGAUGGUAUAUAUACACAACAUAUUAGAAAAUAUAAAUAGUAUAAUGGUGUCAAAGUCUAGGCCCCCUUACCCCCCCACAAAAAAAAAAAAAAAAAAAAAAAAUUAGGAGAUGCCAGAACACAGAUUUUCUUAGCAGCCUUAAUUCUGUUCCUUUGUCUGGAUUACAUUAUAAUUCAUCCCAGCAACUGGAAACUGAAUUCUUUUCCCCCACUGCCCUAUUGCCCUUAUACUUUAGCAGAGAAAUGCACUCAGCAGAAGGGCACUAGUCUUCCCCUCCGCUACCUGCUGCAAGUGUGACUUCCAGGUGAGGAACAAAUACUGCAGAAAUCCAGGUGCAAUCCAUAGGAGCGUUUGGUUGCUGCAUCCCAGCAGCUUUCUGAUGCUAGCUGUUCAUGACUCAGUCAGUUUGUGCGUGUUUUCUACAGAAAAUUUGUAAAGCCAAAUACCUGGCACCAAAUUCAUCGAGUCGUCAGAGCUUCGAGGCCAUGGAGGCAUAGAGUCACCGGACCUUAUGACUGCUAAAUUUAAGGCACUUCCUUCACUCUCGCAGCUGGAAACGCUGCAGUAGUUGGAACGCUGGAACUUCUCUGGAGGCGCCCCGGCAGUGCCAGGCGGGGGCGCCGCGGGGCCGGGCCCAGGUGCGCGGGGCGGGAGCGCUGCGCGGGCGGAGCGGCGCCGGGAGCAGCAGGGCACAGAGGCAGGAAUGCGCCGCGCUGGGCUUUCCGGGACCUCGAACGCCUCACGCCCAGUGGUACUCACCGCACGUAAUACACAUCGAGUCUUAAUUCGGACACACCCGCAGUAUCGUAUUGUGUGUUUGGGGAGUUAACAGAUAAAUUAAGCAAUGGCUGUGUAGCACGACAGAAUUGCACACACGUUGCUCUUAGCUGGUUUUCUUUAAACUAUCUUUUUGUUUUUAUUAAGACCGUUCUUUCAUAACAAAGUACUGUAUCUAGGCCCAAUUCUGCACAAAUGGGUUUACAGACAUGCUGAUUUCUUUCAGGUCGCGACUCUUGAUGCUGACGUUAGAUAGUACCACUUUCUCCUCUGGGCUGACUUUGAGAACAGUAUAUGAAAAUUUGUACAGAUCUGAAUAGAAACAUACAUGUUUUAAAUGCUCUAUAUAAGCACAGAGGAUGUUCUGCUUUAGUUUGCACUUCUGUAAAUGCAGAAUAAAUCUUACUGGCAGAAGAAACUGGAUUUAAUCAUGACGAUGUUAGACAACCCUUCCUCCUGUUAAAGGCGACUUUGGCAGAACCAAGCCUUUAGGUUAGAAUUGCAUAUUAAAAAUGGGAACAGAACCUGACUGGCACGGAUUUUUCUGUUUGUUUUUAACAUCUGUAGCCCAAAAGUUCAGCCUUAAGGAGACUAAGCCUAGGCCCCUGAAUCCAAUAACUCCCAGAGUUACCUAAUAGGAAACACUAGACACAGGGACCCAUAUGGAAUUUAGACUAUGUGAGUUGAGGCUUACACAGCUAUAUUGCAGCACUCUAAAAUACUCCACUCUGCUUUUCCAAAGUGUCCUAUUGUUAUGGGCUCUUAGACUUAGUGACUUGGCAUUAGUCAUAUAAUCCUCUGAAUCUAGAUCAUUUAUUUGUAAUAUCCGAGUCUCAGCAGCCAUUGCUUCCUAAUUAUUUUCCAGUCCUGUCUAAUACCUGUGUGACUUCUUUUCCCAGGCUUGUUUCCACAAGGUAUUUAGAAGUAUUGCUCACCUCUCGAAAAUGAAUCGUAUCAAUGAUUAUGUGUACACAAAUGUCUUGGUGUUUAGCUGAACCAGGGUUAACUUUUCUUGAUAUGAUUUUUGAAAUUGGCAUAGGGUUUCCACAAGCCUUUAAGCAGAUGUUUUAGGAUAUUUUUGUAAGAAUUCAACGGAACAGAGAUUUUGCUGGUGGGUUAGAGUAUGUAUUGGGGUGAGGGAGAGAAAACUAAAUAUACAGCAACUUUGAAAUGAAUGCCUAUGGUUCCAGCAUUCUGGAUGCUAUGCUAACAAGUAGGCUAAACUUGAAUGUCCCCCAGCACUCCAGUUUGGAAUAGCUCCCAGCUUUGGAAUAUAACAUGCUUGCAUUUGUAUCUAGAAUACAACUGGGAUUCUCAUGUUCAAUAAUCAGAAGGAGGGAGUGUGAGUGAGGGAAACAGCUGCAUAUCUCUGGCACUAGGCUUUGCAUACUGACCCUUGUUAUGUAACCUCCAUGCUCCAGAAGUUUGAAUUCAUUUCAGGAGGUUGGCAUGCAUAUGGCUGCGAAAAGUGUUAGCUAGUGAAUUAUUCCAAUUAUAUAAAUAGAGUAAGGGAAACCAUUGCUUGUCUGAUUAUGAGAGUGAUCUCAAGCAAUAAGCACCUCUCCCAUAAUAAAUGCAAGUAUAACUCAGACUGUCUUAUCCUUCCCCUUCUCUCAAAGUGGAUUUGGCCAAUGCCUCUGUCUAGAAGAGUGAUGAGAGUGGAUGGUCGUGAUUGCUAGGAGAAAUUGUUGCUGUGUGGGGAGAUAAAAGGUUUUAAUAAAAAGAACUUGGAGAAGAACUAGUCAAUGGCUUGUAAAGAAUAAGAAGCUGUUGCAGCGCCAAAGGGGAAUGGAAAAGAUUGCAGGUCAGUUGUGCCUGCUAUACCAUUUCUGAAGUGUCAUAACCUGGGUAAUCAAUCAUAAGGCUUUAUUUUGUGGCUGUUGGUUGCACAGGGUUCCUGAAAGCUGGAUUCCCACUGCUUGCAUUUUGUAGUGAGAUGCUGAUGCUUGCAGGAGCCAAGCAGAGAGAACCCUCCCUAAGAAAAUAAUUUGGGGUAAGCUGUUCUACUUUCUGCAAGCUGGACCAUUGCAGCAGGCAGUAUUCUUUGUAGAUGUUUUUAUUCUAUCAGACUUGUUCUAGUGCUUUUAAAUAGUAUUUCAUAAGGACUUUAGCCAUCAACACCAGAUGAGAGGAAACAUUCUGCUACGUGUGAGAUUGGCAAACUCUUUGGGUUUGCAAGGGAGUGCAGAAUUCACCAUAUGUAAAAUGCUGUUCUUAGUAGUUGACUGAUCUUACAUGAAGCUUCAGCUUUACAAAGUUUUGGCCAGUUUAAAAACUGUAGUGCUUGAUCAUUCCUGGGCAUGACAGGUGCGAAAAUACUCAAAGUGCUGAAAGGUUUCCUUUUGCAGGUUUCUUUGGGGUUUUUUUCUGAUGCUGAAGAUGCUUGUGCCUUCUUUUCUCGAAUGUACAGGCUGGCAUGCUCCUAACUGGCUGUUGACCUUUAAAACAAACAAGAAAAGCCCCAUCAAAAGCAGGCACUGGAAGGAAUAGUGAAGCAGGGAACUUGAAUUUUCUGUAUAUGGCACAGUUGGCCUGAUGGAGUUUUAUGUGAUGAUGUUGUCUUUAGACUUGUAUUCCACUCUUGGGUAGGAAUCCUAUCAGCCUGGGAUCUGAAAAUGGGUUAAAUAUAUAUCUGUGAAUGCUGCUUGUGGCACCGUGAGGGAAAGAGUGUAUAGUUUGUGGGCAUACUGGGUAGAAAGUUGGGGCCUCUAUAGCCUAUCUGGGCACACUGGAAACUGGCCCAUAUCAGUAAUACACAUGAAAGAUGAGAAUCUGUCCCUCUGUCUAUAUAGAUGCCUUGUAAAUCCUGCACUAGGAGGCUUUGUUGGAAUGGCACAAAGAUUCCACAGGAUAGUCUUAGAAACAGCCUAAUAAGCAUCAUCAGUGGGAGUAAAAGUCUGGACCUUGCAUCAAGCAGUAUCCCAUCAUCUUUUUUUGUCACUUGGGAUUUUGUAAUAAACUUUGACAAGUUCUUCUUAGGCGCUUUCUGCUGAGGCAGCACAGAGUCCUAGUGUCAGCAAAGGCCUGUGAACUCUAGCAGAAGCCUGAGCAAGUAGAAGACUUGACACAAGGGCUUAGAUGUGUGAGGAGAGUGGCUGGAGCAAGACUGGUGUGGCAGAUCUUCCUGUUGGAGACGUGGCUACUGCAUUUGAAGAAGGUGUCCUGACAGCAAAGCUGAUCCAGCUUUGCUUAAAAAACAAGAUCAAACAAAAAAAGCCCAACAAAUAACACAUUGCCUGUGGCAGUGCUGGUUUUAUGUAAAGGACGUUACCCAUGUGGUUAUCAUGGUUAAAAAGUAUCAGUAAAAUUAUUCUGAAUUCUGGUCUGAGAUCCUGGUUGGCUUGGGGAAGUUUAUAUCAGAUUACUUCCACAGGGUCCAGUUGGAGAGACUUUUGGGCUGGCUUCAUUGUGACAUUGACUGCAAUAAUUGACUGAUGGAUUCCCAGGAUCAUUUUAUGUUAUAUCAGUACUGCAUUUGUUCACUGAAAUUUGUCGUCAUCAACUUUUAAAGUUGACCUAAACUGGUAUUUUAGGCAGGUCAAUCCUCAACUUUCUGUUGUUUCUCCCCUCUACCAAGGUAAAGUUGGAUGGGAAAUGGAAGAACAGUUUUGUGACAAUUUUGAAACUGUUUCUGUUUAACAGGAUUUAAGACAUAGCUAAAGUAAUCUUAUUUCCCCCUUACUACCAUUUUCCUCUGGUUUUUGGCCAAUUGAUGCAAUAAAAUGAACUAGUGCCUUCUUACCCCCUCACUAAUUCUAAACUGCAGUUUGUGUGGAUGUUUUUCUUUUCAGUGCAACCACUCCAUCAGAGUUUCUUUUUCUUACUUUAAAUUUUUACAAAGUAAAAAAUAUUUUAAGUUACAGAUUGUUUUGGAAAUAAUGCAACAAAAUACAAGGAAAGAAAAAAAAAAGAAUGCAAUACUAUAAUUCCUUUGUAUUUAUAUGGAAGAGGGGGUGAAAACAUUAAAGGUGUUAUGAAAAUGAUUUUAAAAACCCAUUGAAAUUAAAAGCAUUUCACAAAUAAUGUUGAACUAAAAAAAAAAAAAUUACCAGGUGAGAUAUUUUCAUGCUGAAUCUAAUUUUCCACGUAGUUAAAAAGACUGGUUUUGUUGUUAGCUGUACAGCUCCUGCACGUGCUACAAAAGCAGCCUACUUAUCAUAGUGCUUGUUCCAAAGACCAAAAUUCAAUUUGUAAACAAGAAAGCUUGAAUACUGAAAGAAAACAAUUGCAGUCAUUACAUUUAAGCUGUGUCUGGACAGCUCACUUCUGCCUACUCUAUUAAAAAAAAUCAUCAUAGUGGAGUAAGCAGAUAAUCACAGCAAAAUACUCAUUCCUUUCUUUGAGGUGGUGUCAUCAGUAAGGAAGGAAAGGUGAGGCAGUUCAAAUCAGAAGCAGAUUCAAAGUUAGCACUUUCUUUGGAUGAGUGUGGCAGUUUGUUUUUCUCAGCUGUUAAUUUUCUCAGGUAGGGUGCUAUCCAUUAUGCUCAAUCCAAAUGUUAAACCUGUCUUAGAAUCAUAAUUAUAUUGUGUGCUCUGGGCUUAUAAGAGAUAAGGUUGAUUAGCUGGUUAUUACAUUCUGUUUUCUCAUCAUGGGCAAGAGGAAGUCAUGUUGUACCACCUUUGGGGCCACAUUUGAAGUUUUUGUUUAAAGGUGGUUAAAAUCAUAGGUAGACAGUAUCCCUGAACUCCAUUCAGAGUAGUAAUGAGGAACUUUUCUAGGGGCAGUCAGAUCAUCUAUUGAUUGUUCCCUAAUCUAUACCACCUGCUCCCUCCAAGGAUUAAGUCACCUUUGAAACUCGCUUUCAUCUUUGUACAGGGAAUAGGAGGAUGGAGACAGCAAUGUUUCAGAUGCAUCAAGGUACCACCUCUGUAUCCCAUUGAUGGAUGUAAUGUAAAAAUAUUUUUUCCUACCUUUAAUGAAGGAAAGAGUGAAAAGGACUCCCAAAGUGUUCACCUUUUCUUGUUUCUUUAAUUUUUAAUUUUUUUUUUCUUUAUUAUUUUAUUUUCCUGAAUGAUUUUUUCUUUUUUUUUUAUUUUUCCCAAACUAGUUUCUCAAGAAAUAAGGCAGAUAGACCUGUGUCUCUGUUGGAAUUUCAAAAUAAACUUUGACAAGUCAUUCUUAGGUGCUUUCUAUCAUUUGCUUUUUGAUGGGAAUUCAGUUUUGUCCCAUCUAAAUUUUACCAAUGACUCCCCUGAAGGAGAGGGCAACGAUAGCUGCUGAAUGUGUGUUCUUCAGAGGAUGUGUCUGUUUUAUUAGGUUCCUUUUCCUACUAUUACUGUGGGUUUGCAGUGGCUACCAGAAAGUCUUGUAAUGUCCUUUUGAAGCAGCUUGUUCAUAACAUUAUUUUCUAUUGUUGGGGAAAUUUAAAAACAAUGCAUGACAAAGACUCUUCUGGCAGCCACACUAAACAGAUUUUGAGCAGUUUGUUAAACUAGGGACAGACUUGAACCAGGCUCUGGGAACUUCUGUCUCCCCAAAUUUUUGAAAACUUCAGAUUGAGGCCUCCAUGUACAUCUUGCUAGUAGAGACUCCUCUUUAGUGUUAAAAUGUAUUUUAUCAGAACAUCCCAUUAAAAUAUAAUGGGUUUGAGUCCAAACAUCAGCAUACAAGUAAUAAAAAACUGAAUAGUGCAUACAAUAAAGAAAACUGGGUAACAGAAUCAGGCCUCAAAUCAAGAUACACUAAAGAUGUCCAAGAAUUGUUGCUAUAGGUUUAGAGGGGAAAUUUUGCUUAAGAAAAAAGCUAAAAAUUUGAGGUCCCUUUCAUGGAUACAAUUCCUAAAGUUGUGAAGAAUGAAUUGUUGGUGCCAGUUUUUACACAGUAUAGCUCCAUAGUUAUCUUUGUUAUGCUGACUAUGUAAUUUUUUUGGGCAUGUGUCUGUAGAAGGUUGGUGUUGAGUCUGUAACACUGACACUCUGAUAUCUUUUCCUCCUCUUUCAGCUAAGCAACUAUUGGUAAAGAUCAAAGAAAGGGAGGAGGAGGGCUGACAAGAAACAGUGUAUGAGAGAUGCCUGCACAACUUUAAUAAAUAAAAAGGGGUUAAGGCUUCAAAUCUCUUGCAGGAUAUCUGUGCAUGUGGGGCCCUGUUUUGCUGUAAGAAGCUACAUUACAGCACACUAUCUUAUUUAGACCUAUAUGAAUCUGUUACUUUGAAUAUUAAUAUAUAUUAACAAAAGAAAAUUAUAAAUCACUAGAAAUACCUGAGAAUAUUUAACAGUUGCUAAUCUACCAGAAACCACUUAUUUUUCAGCUCUGUUCUUUGUUUCCUUCCACAGCAAAAUUAGAUUUGUGGCUUCUAAUGUUGGUGUCUAGCUUGUUUCACUUUCCAGUUCACAAGAGUUGAGGAAUAUAUGAUAAGAAUCUAUCUUUCUUUCCCUCCAGAAAGCAGCAACUCUACAUUGAAACUUAACAAGAUAAAACGGAAAGCAGAAGAUACAAGGUAAAAAUUCUUUCACAGUUUGAAAUAUUUUCAGCUAAAAUAAAGCUUUUCAGGGUUAUGUAAAUAGUAAAAAUGUUUGAAACAGAGGUGGAUCAGGAGAGCAGCAUUAUGAGACAUGACACUUCCAAUACACUGAGAAGAUAUGACACUGUUUCUUCUUCUUGAGUAGAGACAAGCUACAGUUCUGUAUGAGGGGCUGGAGGUGAGGUGGUGGACUCUCUUCUAAAGCCCUGCUCACUCUGACCCUAUAGAUGCAGCAUGCUCAGGCCUUGUGUUAAUGCUACAGAUGUUACCCCAAUAGAUUUGUGUCAAAACUUACCUUUUUCAAAAUUUAUGUGCUGGCUGUCCAAACAUUUGGCAAGCUCUCAUUAAGAAUAUGCCCACCUAGGGCUUUUUAUGCCAUAUACUUUUAAAUUAUUUAUACUUUCUUGCAGCCUCCUUGCUAUGUUUCAGGUGAGUGUGAAUAAAACUAACAGUAACUAAGUACAAAUGUAAAAAUCCUGAAGUUGUGAUUUAGUGUAUAUGUAACUGAGUGUGUCUCAACUUUGUUGGUCUUUCAGGAUGUAAAACAACAGUAGCAUUACUGAUUAGUGACUUAUGGUACACUCAAAUCAGAAGAAAAAUUAAACUAAAAUUUAGGUCAUAAAUAACCUACCAAUGAUGGACUGGUGUAUAUGUAAAAAUACAGGUAACUAUGGUGUGGCAUGAAAUUUUUAUUAAUACAGGUCUGUGAUGUUCCUCCUGCUUGCAAACAGUGAACAGGUAAACAAGUUCUGUAGUUCAUUACAAGCAAAAUUCCCAUCAGUGCUCUGUGCUUUUUCCUUCAGCUAAAAUGGUAAUCUAACUGUUGUGGGAUUCUACAGGAAAAACACUGUGGGCAAAUUAUAUGGACGUGUGAGCAAAGCCUGAUCUCUUCAUUACUGCAGUGCGAUACGGUCCUAGGCUGUUUUUUUCUUAUAUGUGAAGCAAAAUCAUUAUCCCACAAGCGAAUACUGCCCAUCCUACAGGAAGAACUCAAGUGUUUGCCAUCAAGCAAAUAUCACAGCAACAAGAAAAGUCAAGCCAGAAAUCGUCGUAGUAGUGAGAUGGGGUGUAGAUUGCUAGUCUGUGGUCACCAGUUCAGGUGCACGCUAUGCCAUUUGCCAUUUAUUUCUUUGCAGCACACACAUCAACUGUGCGCUUGUGACAAGUUGGCAGUUUGUGGUUAGCUUUUCCUGUGAGCAGUGAGAGGUACUAAGCAGGGAGGUUCUGACGUUGCAUUCAAUGUCACCUGGACCACUAUAUAUUAAAUAAUAUAAUGUAAUAUGAUAAUGGAAACGUUCUUAAAGAUUACUUCCCAGAACUGUUUUGGGAUAGAUCUCAGCAUCUUGGAAACUCUCCAGCUGACAGAAAGCUUAUUUCUCCUAAGCAGUGCCUGUAACCAAAUGGCUUAGAUUGCUUUGAUGGAAGAGAUACUUCCCUCCAGGGAUAUACGCCUGGCACAGUACCUAAGUUGACCUAGUAGCGGGAAUAAGUAAAGUUUCAGAAAGAGGGACACUAGACAGAUCCUAAAUUUUAACUUUUUGCAAACUUCUGAUGAAUCCUUAAUGAACAGAAAACCGCUGCAUUACACUUAUGUACCUGUCCUCACUAUGAGUAACAGUCAUACUCUUUCUGUUCUCCAUUCCUCUUCCUUUUCUCUUUUGCCCCAGUAUUGGAAAGUUUUAUUUUGUAAAGUAGUUGAGCAAGAGAGAUUUUGGUUGUCUUUACUUUUUCAAGUUCAGUCCAGGAAGAUUGCUAUUUCUACUUCUGGUAAUGUCUUACAAACAUCACUAUUUUCAUUCUGUUAUUCAUUAAGUUGGGAAUGAAAAUGUUCUUCUAGUUUUUCCUCACUUUUCCCUCUGCUUUGACAGUAGUGUCUUUUAAUUGUCUUUAGUUGAGUUUCUUCUGGAUGUAUAGAUGCAAAGAAUGGCAAUGUAGGCUUGAUUUUGGUGGUGCUCGUUUGUGUUUUUUAGAAUGAUGGAGCAUGCCUGGAGGGAAAUGAGGCUUUUGGGAGUGGGAGAAAAGUAUGAGAUGACAAAGUUGACAUUGCUAUCAGACAAGUAAAAAACGUGUUUGAUUCUGCUCUUGUUGGCACC